UACGAAGGGGGCUAGCGUUGUUCGGAAUUACUGGGCGUAAAGCGCGUGUAGGCGGGUCUUUAAGUCAGGGGUGAAAUGCCAAGGCUCAACCUUGGAACUGCCUUUGAUACUGGAGAUCUUGAGUCCGGGAGAGGUGAGUGGAACUGCGAGUGUAGAGGUGAAAUUCGUAGAUAUUCGCAAGAACACCAGUGGCGAAGGCGGCUCACUGGCCCGGAACUGACGCUGAGGCACGAAAGCGUGGGGAGCAAACAGG
rnacentral:rRNA from 1 species